CGAUUAAGACAUGCGAGUCGAGAGUCUUCGGGACUCGGCGGACUGCUCAGUAACACGUGGAUAACAUGCCCUUAGGAGGGGGAUAACCUCGAGAAAUUGAGAAUAAUACCCCAUAGGUCAUGAAUGCUGGAAUGCUUCAUGGCUCAAAGUUCCGGCGCCUAAGGAUUGGUCUGCGGCCUAUCAGGUAGUAGUGGGUGUAACGGACCCACUAGCCAAUGACGGGUAUGGGCCUUGAGAGAGGGAGCCCAGAGAUGGACUCUGAGACACGAGUCCAGGCCCUACGGGGCGCAGCAGUCGCGAAACCUUCACACUGGGGGCAACCCUGAUGAGGGAAUUCCUAGUGCCUGCAUUUUGUGUAGGCUUUUCUCUAGUGUAGAUAGCUAGAGGAAUAAGGGCCGGGUAAGACGGGUGCCAGCCGCCGCGGUAAUACCCGCGGCCCGAGUGGUGGUCGAUAUUAUUGAGUCUAAAACGUCCGUAGCCUGUUCAGUAAAUCUUUGGGUAAAUCGGCCAGCUUAACUGACCGAACUCCGAAGAGACUGCUGAACUUGGGACCGGGAGAGGCCAGAGGUACUUCUGGGGUAGGGGUAAAAUCCUGUAAUCCUAGAAGGACCACCGGUGGCGAAGGCGUCUGGCUAGAACGGAUCCGACGGUGAGGGACGAAGCCCUGGGGCGCAAACGGGAUUAGAUACCCCGGUAGUCCAGGGUGUAAACGCUGCAGGCUUGGUGUUGGGGGUCCUUCGAGGGCGCCCAGUGCCGGA
rnacentral:rRNA from 1 species